rnacentral:rRNA from 1 species
UUGCUAGUUACCAUCAUUAAGUUGGGGACUCUAGCGAGACUGCCAGUGAUAAACUGGAGGAAGGUGGGGAUGACGUCAAAUCAUCAUGCCCCUUAUGACCUGGGCUACAAACGUGAUACAAUGGCUGAAACAAAGGGCGGCGAAGGAGCGAUCUGGAGCGAAACCCAAAAAAGCAGUCUCAGUUCGGAUUGAAGUCUGCAACUCGACUUCAUGAAGUCGGAAUCGCUAGUAAUCGCGGAUCAGAACGCCGCGGUGAAUACGUUCUCGGGGUUU